rnacentral:tRNA from 1 species
GGAAGUGUGGCUGAGUGGUUGAAGGCACCGCUCUCGAAAAGCGGCAUAUGGGAAACUGUAUCGAGGGUUCAAAUCCCUCCGCUUCCG